AGAGUUUGAUCCUGGCUCAGAACGAACGCUGGCGGCGUGCUUAACACAUGCAAGUCGAGCGAGAACGGGUCCUUCGGGGCCCUAGUAAAGCGGCGCACGGGUGAGUAACACGUGGGUAACCUACCCUCGAGAGGGGGAUAACAUUUCGAAAGGAAUGCUAAUACCGCAUGAGACCACAGCGGCUUCGGUCGCAGAGGUUAAAGGAGGCUUCGGUUUCCACUUGAGGAUGGGCCCGCGGACCAUUAGCUUGUUGGUAGGGUAAUGGCCUACCAAGGCUCUGAUGGUUAGCUGGUCUGAGAGGAUGAUCAGCCACAUUGGAACUGACACACGGUCCAGACUCCUACGGGAGGCAGCAGUGGGGAAUUUUGCGCAAUGGGGGAAACCCUGACGCAGCAACGCCGCGUGAGUGACGAAGGCCUUCGGGUUGUAAAGCUCUGUCAAGGGGGAAGAAAUCAUUGGUUUAACACUCUGAUGU
rnacentral:rRNA from 1 species